rnacentral:rRNA from 1 species
CCUACGGGUGGCAGCAGUGAGGAAUAUUGGUCAAUGGGCGGAAGCCUGAACCAGCCAAGUAGCGUGCAGGAUGACGGCCCUACGGGUUGUCAACUGCUUUUAUCCGGGAAUAACGCGCCUUACGUGUAGCGCUUUGCGUGUACCCUAUGAAUAAGGAUCGGCUAAUUCCGUGCCAGCAGCCGCGGUAAUACGGAAGGUCCGGGCGUUAUCCGGAUUUAUUGGGUUUAAAGGGAGCGUAGGCCGCAUGGGAAGCGUGCUGUGAAAUGUCCGGGCUCAAACCGGGCCGUGCAGUGGGAACUGGCGGACUAGAGUCCGCGGAAAGCAGGCGGAAUGCGCGGUGUAGCGGUGAAAUGCUUAGAUAUGACGAAGAACCCCGAUUGCGAAGGCAGCUUGCUGGAGCGGAACUGACGCUGAGGCACGAAAGCGCGGGUAUCGAACAGGAUUAGAUACCCUGGUAGUC